GAUACGCUUCAAAUUCAUUCCGUUCCGCGAGAAGAUGUCGGAGGUCGCUCGAAAAAUGUUCGUCCUGCGAAAUUCGAGAAUCAACGCAAAUCUUGAGACACGUGAGGGAAAAUCUCCAAAAUAUGUGGGAGAAUCUUCAAGCAUCCUGAAGUGGUACUGAGAAUCUUCAAGACGCGAGUUUGUAUUCCGGAGCAGUAAUUCCCUGACUUAAGAUUAACAUGUGAUCAACUACUACAACUUUACUGCUGUAUAUAUAAUAUCGAGUGCCGAGAGUGAAUAGUUUCCGUGUUAUUUUCCGUCGAAAUAAUAAUAAAAUACGCGUUGCAUGUAAGUUAUUUAUGUCGGGAGUGCCGUAUAAAGUACUGCGCGAUUAAUUUUUAUGCGGGAUCAUAAUUAACCGAGUGUUUUCGCGAGUGUCAUGUGAGUGCUACAAAUUAAAGGGCAGCAAAGAAAAUAUGACCGCAAUAAUAAAAGAGGAGGAGGAGGCCUGGGGAGGCAUCGGGCAACAGCGAAACAACUGCGAGAUCAAUAUGAGCCGGCAUAUAUACGUAUCAACGGAAGGGCUCAAGAUGAGGAUGAAAAAGAGACGAGGAAAUUUUGACAGCUGACGCGACGUGGGAAUUCCUUUUUUUUUCGUCGCUUACAACUCGAAAAUUACUGGUGCCUCGACAUUUUCGGCGAGGAAGAGUCGUCUCCAGGUGGUCCCAGGAAUCUGCAGGAAAAUUAACAGAGGCGAUCCGUUAACUCUGGGACACCCUGUAUACGUACGUUUAAAACGUAUACAUAUUUCGCAUAUGCAGAUCGCGUGGCCAGGAAGGGAAAAGCGGAUCGUAACAGCUUGCCUAAAUUCCAUCUAAAUUCAAAACAGGGUUGAAAUUGCCACCAACAGGCGCGUAGGGGAUCCUCGACGCGACAAGCAACGAUUCUAGCCGGCUAGACACGUGGGGUCAAAGGCAGACAGACACAUUCGCUUUUUUAAAUACCUUUUCUCCUCUUUCUCUCUCUCUCUCGCGCGCGCGAAGAAGCUCGUCCGAUAUGGUACAGCAAUAUGUAUGGCAUCAUCCCGUGGAUGGGGCAAAAUAUAAAGCUGCUUCUUCCUUCUAUGCAGAGGAAAAAAGGUGUCUCGCCUACUCGUAUGACGCGACUGACGUUUAAUUAAAUUGCGAGACGGUAUAUAUUUGAUAUGAGCGGAACGGAAAAUGUUAAAUGCGCAUAAUAUAGAGCGCUCAAAAAGGGAUUAUUUCUGUUUUACAUAUGAUAAAAUUCGAAGUUUUGGCAAAAUAAUCGUAAGAACUCGAUGGAAGAAUUGAAUUUUCCCCAUAAAAAAUAAUUGUGAAAUUAUAAAUGACAAUGGAAAAACAAAUAAAAAAACAAAUCUAAAAAUCAUCAAUCCAAAAAUCACACAAUUUAAUCAUCAAGAUAGUUUGUUAAAAAUGAGAGUUGCGAGGAAAUAAAUUAGUAUAAGUCCAUAUAUCUUUAUACAUCAUAUUGGUAGUAUUUUUUAUAGCCAUUAUAUAGAAAUAAAU